rnacentral:lncRNA from 1 species
GUUUUACAAACCACAUCAAUGAAUGGAUUAUUUAAUAUCUGUACUGUACGACACAGACGCUCGUUACAUGUUAGAGGUUCAGUGCAAAGAUAUGAUAUGAAAUAUAUAAGAAUAUUAAUCCUUUAUUCGUCCCACAAUGGGGAAAUUCGGGCGUAACAGCAGCAAAGUGGAUGGCAGAAUAUAUAUUGUUGUUUUUUUAAAAGCAAAAGGUAUGUACAAAAUAUAACAUAUAAAAUAUAAAUACUUAUAUACAGAGCAGUAUCAAUAAUUGCAUACGGAGAAUUAAUAUAGAUAUAAAUAUUGCACAGUUGUUAUUGCACUCCUGUGAAAUGAGAUGAAAAACUAAACAUUUUUACUUUUACCAGGAUCUGACUUCUGAGGAAGAAGUUCAUUUAAACCGUGACACGGUUCCUCAGAUCAGUGGGUGAGGCGUCCGGGGGAGACGACCAGCUCCAUCACCUGGACGUGUAACCAGCCUCACCCGCGUGGUCGUCCUCACCCGCGUGGUCGUCCUCACCCGCGUGGUCGUCCUCACCCGCGUGGUCGUCCUCACCCGCGUGGUCGUCCUCCCUCACCCGCGUGGUCGUCCUCACCCGCGUGGUCGUCCUCAGUCAUCCUCACCCGCGUGGUCGUCCUCACCCGCGUGGUCGUCCUCACCCGCGUGGUCGUCCUCAGUCAUCCUCACCCGUGUGGUCGUCCUCACCCGCGUGGUC